GCCAUGCACAAAAGGUAUUUGGCUGUGGAGUUCACCAUUAAGGAGAACAGCUCUUGAUGGAACAGAAUACAACCUGUUACUGCUGGACACAGAAGGAAUUGAUGCUUAUGAUCAAACGGGUACAUAUAGCACACAAAUAUUCUCCCUGGCAGUCCUUCUUUCAAGUAUGUUUGUAUAUAACCAGAUGGGAGGUAUCGAUGAAGCUGCGCUUGACCGCCUCUCUCUUGUCACUGAAAUGACUAGGCAUAUUCGUGUUAAAGCCUCUGGAGGAAAGGCCAGUGCUUCUGAGCUUGGGCAGUUCUCCCCAGUCUUCGUUUGGUUGCCUAGGGAUUUUUAUUUGGAUUGGAUCGAGGACAACCGCAAAAUAACUCCGCGGGACU